UUCACAAUGAAAAUGGGUUGGAAUGAAGAACUUGAGUUUUGUGAUGAAGAAUGGAAGAAAUUUGUGGCGGACAAAAUUGAAAUCGAUUCGAAAUGCAACAAUACUCUUACACGUUGUUGUGUUGAGGAGAAGAAAUAUCUUUUGGAGCGAUUUAAAAUGUUUAGUGAAAUAUGUCCUCUUGAAGGGACAUGUGGAUGCAGCCCGAUUAUUUUAAACAUUACUGUUUCGUCACACGUCGAUUAUGAUUAUUAUCCUCCUUUACAAAAAGCAAUAUACGAAAAAAAGAAAGAACCAAAAAACUUUACGUGUUCACAUAAGUACAUAAAUGAAAGAGUAGAACAGUAUAACUAUUAUUAUAGAAGUUAUACUAGCUUUGGAAUCCUACAACACAAAUUCCCUUACAAGUAUGUUUUAUACGGUGGAAAAAGUCACACUUGUUAUGUUGUCAUCAACGUU